rnacentral:tRNA from 1 species
GCCUUCGUGGUGUAGUGGUCAGCACCCUCCGUGCGUAUUCAAGAGGUCCGUGGUUCAAGUCCCGGCGACGGCA